rnacentral:rRNA from 1 species
AUUGAACGCUGGCGGCAGGCCUAACACAUGCAAGUCGAGCGGAUGAAGGGAGCUUGCUCCUGGAUUCAGCGGCGGACGGGUGAGUAAUGCCUAGGAAUCUGCCUGGUAGUGGGGGAUAACGUCCGGAAACGGGCGCUAAUACCGCAUACGUCCUGAGGGAGAAGGUGGGGGAUCUUCGGACCUCACGCUAUCAGAUGAGCCUAGGUCGGAUUAGCUAGUUGGUGGGGUAAAGGCCUACCAAGGCGACGAUCCGUAACUGGUCUGAGAGGAUGAUCAGUCACACUGGAACUGAGACACGGUCCAGACUCCUACGGGAGGCAGCAGUGGGGAAUAUUGGACAAUGGGCGAAAGCCUGAUCCAGCCAUGCCGCGUGUGUGAAGAAGGUCUUCGGAUUGUAAAGCACUUUAAGUUGGGAGGAAGGGCAGUAAGUUAAUACCUUGCUGUUUGGACGUUACCAACAGAAUAAGCACCGGCUAACUUCGU